UACGUAGGCAGCAAGCGUUGUUCGGAAUUACUGGGCGUAAAGAGUGUGUAGGCGGUGUUCCAAGUCUGUUGUGAAAUCUCCCGGCUUAACUGGGAGGGUGCGGCGGAAACUGGGAUGCUAGAGGAUGGGAGAGGUAAGCGGAAUUCCUGGUGUAGCGGUGAAAUGCGUAGAUAUCAGGAGGAACACCUGUGGUGUAGACAGCUUACUGGAACGUAACUGACGCUGAGACGCGAAAGCGUGGGGAGCAAACAGG
rnacentral:rRNA from 1 species